UAAUAUUUGUUGUAGACAGUAAUGAUCGAGAUCGAAUUUCAGAAGCCAGAGAUGAGCUACAUCGCAUGCUUAAUGAGGUAAAAUACUCUCCGUCCCAUAUUAGUUGUCAUAUCGAUGAUGGAUAAUUCUCGUAACUUUUAGAAUACGUACAAAUUCAUGUGUUAUGUAGGAAGAAUUACGAGGCGCUACAAUUCUUGUAUUCGCAAAUAAACAAGACCUUCCAAAUGCUAUGAAUGUUGCAGAUAUCACCGAUAAACUUGGCCUGCAUUCACUCCGACAACGACGCUGGUAAACCACAAACUUAAUAUUAUAUCACACCGCAAAAGAAUAUUUGCAUCAUUAGAUUAUCUAAUAUGUUAUGAUUUUUAUUAUUAUAUGUAAUUCCCCAUGAUAAGUGAAAUUAGUUUUAUGAGAAUAAGGUGUUACAAGUGAAAUUAUGCUUAUAGGUAGUACAAUUUUUGUAGGAAUUUUAAUAUUUUUUGUCAGCAGACUAAAAUAACACUACAACAAAAAUGAUCAUUAGCGGCAAUUAAUUCUUAAUUGCCGUGGCCAUUAGCACUCUUUGUAUAUGUCCCUAAAGCCUUUAGCGACAUUGGUUCUAAUGACACUUAACUAAUGUCAGUAAAGACUUUAGUACUCUUUAUUAAUGUCAAUAAAGUUAUUUUUGUUGUAGUGUCACCUGCCUAGCCGUAAUAGUAAUUAGUUUGUAUUUGGUGUAUACUCAAUGGAUAAUACAAGUAUAAUAAUAAGUGUGUUAAUCGAUAUACACACUCAAUAGAGGAGUGUGUUAAAAGAUCUGAAAAACUUUGUUCUAUUCAAAUUGUAAGAGGGCAAGAGAUCUCAUUUUUAUCCGUAUUUUUUUUUAGGUACAUUCAGAGUGCUUGUGCAACAUCUGGACAGGGACUUUAUGAAGGUCUUGAUUGGUUAUCACAUAAUAUCACUGGCAAGGCAAGAACAUUAUGGCCUUUUCACCUCCUCUUUUAAUUUCAUUUUUUUCUCACCAAAACAAAACUGAAUUUACUUGGUUAAAUCAUAAUUGCAGGCAUAAAUUCAAAGCAGCAUCCAGCUCAAGAAAAUCCUCUUAUUUAAACCCCCAAACGCGUUGAUUUUAAUAGAAGCUAUGACUAUACGUAUAUUCUGAUGCAACAUUUCAUUAUUGUAAACUAUAGUAUUGAAUUCCAUGAUUUUUGCCUAUCCGUGUAUGAUUGAAUUUCAUAAUUUAUGACUUUAUGUAUAUGGUUGAAAAUUCAAUAUGAUAAUUAAACACUCAUCAACAUUCACGACUUCAUUCUCCUUUUAAGGCUUAUCCGAAAGAGAAUAUCGUAAUUCUUCACGGUGAAUAUCUAAACGGGUUGUUUGAUGUUCAGUAAUUCUUGUUUAAGCAAUUCAUACAUAUUUUGAUCUAAGAUUACACUCUUCCGAAUUUAAGCAGUAACAUAUUCUUCCAUAAAUCUAAAAAUAUAAAAGAAAUUAACAAUGCAUUUUCACAACUCGACCGCUACAUCAAUUCUGUUCCAUUUAAUCUCUCUUUCAUGGCGGAAUAUUUUUCGGGAUAAGUAAUAUUACUUGAAAUGCUAGACGCGCAAAUAAUGGUUGUGGUUUUGGGAAUAAAUUUGAGAAUAAUCAAUAAUGUAAUGAAACUUCAUGAUGUAUCAAAUGACAUUAAUCAUUGAUAAGUUGGAUUUUUUAAAUUUUAUAAUGGAAGAACUUACUACCGGAGCCCUUAACCAAAGAAGGCCCAUGCAUACAGCCACAUAUUGUUACUUCAAUUGUCUUAAUUGACCUAAUAUCUUAGGAACAAGAAUAAAGUGUAGUUAUUGAUCACCAAUGUUUUUUUAUUAAAUUCAAUGCAAUAAUACAUAAAUGUAAAGUUGAAACAUAAAUCUAACGGAAGCUGCUAAUCAUUUAUUUUUCAACAAUGUCAUACUACACCACAAUGAAAAUUUAAUGUGGAUCGAAAUCUCACUAAGAUCGAGUCAAACUUCAAUAAUAAACAUGUCAUGACAUAUCUGCAACAACACGCAUGUAAUAUUAUUAAGAAUUACACAGAUGGUGAGAACUCAACCAUAGAUGAAACCAUGGAAGCCAUAACUGGCAACUGAGAGAAAGCAAUAACAGAGAGGAAAAUAUGAUUUGGUAAAAUAAGAACUCACACCUUUCAUUGAUCAGUAGUGAAGUACUUAUAUACAUGUGUGAAUAUACAUCAACGAAUAUGCAGAAAGAGAAAAUAUCUAACUAACUAAUUAGCUCUCUAACCGACUCUGACAUCACUAACUAACUGCACUAACUAACAGAAAAGAUGGAAUCUAACUAACUGAAUGUCAUAAUUAAUACACAUUUUAAUCAUGAUUGUUAAUACCCCUCCUCAAGUUGGAGGUGAUGAUUUCACUGCCAACUUGUGUAAAAUGACUGAAUGUUUGACACCAGUGAGAGCCUUGGUAAGAAUGUCAGCAAGUUGGUCAGAGGUGGACACAUGGUGCAGAGAAAUGAGCCCCUCCUGAAGCUUACUGCGCACAAAGUGACAAUCCACUUCAAUGUGUUUAGUUCUCUCAUGGAACACAGGAUUACGAGCAAUGUAAAUAGCAGAUUGACUGUCACAGUAAACAGCAAUAGGAGAAGAGAUAGGAACAGUCAAUUCAGUAAGCAACCUGUGAAGCCAAGUCAACUCUCCUACAACCUUUCUGAGUGAUCUAUAUUCUGCUUCAGCUGAUGAUAGGGAAACAGUCUCUUGUUUCUUGGACUUCCAGCUGAUGGGGCUGUUCCCAAGUAGUACUAAAUAGCCACUGACUGACCUCCUUGAGUCUGGACAGGAUGCCCAAUCUGAGUCACAAAAGGCUUGAACUGUACAGUCAGGGUCCAUAGAUAAGUGUACUCCCAAAGUAGGAUCCUUCUUUAGGUAUCUAAGAAGGUGAUAAGCUGCUUGUAGAUGAGGAGCUCUAGGAUCUUGCAUGAACUGACUCAAUUGUUGAACACUGAAGGCUAUGUCCAGUCUGGUAUUAGUAAGGAAGUUCAACUUGCCUAUCAACUUCCUAUAGAAUGUGGGAUCAGAUAGAGGAGGACCUUCCUUGGCUCUUAGUUUGACAGUAGGAUCUAGUGGUGAAGACAGAGGUGCAUAAUUAAAGCAAUCAUAUUCUCUGAGUAAGUCCAAAACAAACUUUCGUUGUGAAAUAAGAACCCCCUCUGUUGUGUCAAGUAUCUCUAAGCCCAGAAAGUAAUGGAGUCUGCCAAGAUCCUUGAUCUUGAAAGUGUCGUCUAGAUACACUUUGAGCUGUACAAUUUCAGUUGUGUCUGUGCCUGUCAAAAUAACAUCAUCUACAUAUACGGCAACAAACACUACCAAGGGUCCUGCCUUCCUGUAAAACAGUGAGUGAUCAUAAUGUGAGUGUGUGUAACCCCUGAAUGAUAAUGCCUCAGUCAGUUUGGCAUACCACUGCCUACUGGCCUGUUUGAGACCAUAGAGUGACUUAUUUAGCUUACAAACCAGACCUGGAUUAGGUAUCUCAAGGCCUUGAGGCACUUUCAUAUACACCUCUUCAUGGAGAUCUCCAUGAAGGAAAGCAUUAUUAACAUCAAGUUGAAACAUACCCCAGCCUUUCUUCACAGCACAUGCUACUAAGGUUCUUACAGUAGUCAUUUUAACCACAGGUGAGUAGGUUUCAGUAUAGUCUAUUCCAGCCUGUUGUGUAUAUCCUUUGACUACUAGUCUUGCCUUGAACCUUUCUAUGCUUCCAUCUGCUCUAUGUUUAACUUUGUACACCCAUCUACAUCCAAUUGCCUGCUUGUCUGCUGGUAGACUUACAAGAUCCCAAGUGUUGUUGGCAUACAAUGCCUCAAAUUCUUGUGUCAUGGCUUUCUGCCAUGCAGGGCUCAGUGAUGCUUCCUCAUAUGAUGAUGGCUCACUAUCAUGACAAACAUUCUCAACAAGAGCUUGACUGUUAGAUGCAAUGACAUCAGGAGACACAUGGUGGUGUUUGGUAAACAAGGCAGUAAGAGAAGUGGGAUGAUUUUGUGUGUUUUGUGUGUUGAUGUCAACAGGUUUUAGGCUAGGAAUGUUGACAAUGUAAUCUUUCAGAUGUUGUGGAAUUUUAUUUACUCUAUGGGAUUUUCUUUGCACUACUGUGGAAGGAACAUGUGGUGGUGGUGUUGGAGAUGUAAUGGUAAGGACAGGAGGUGGUUGUGCAAUGGGAUCCUCAAUGGUGUGGUCAGGUGGAUGAAUGGGAAUUGUAUCAGUUACAUUGUUAUAGUCACUUACACAAUUAUCACAUGAGGCUAAUUCAGUAUAAUCAGUAGAAGGAAUAGACCUCAAAACAGAAGGAAAAGAAGAGCUUUCAGCUGACAAAGUAAAAGGAAAGACAUUUUCAUGAAAGAUCACAUCCCUGGAGACAUGUAUCUUCUUUGUAGCCAGAUUCAUUACCUUGUAACCUUUUGUUCCAAAAAGAUAUCCCAGGAAAAUGUGUGGGGUGGUUCUUGGUUCAAGUUUGUCUCUAAGUACUUUCGGGACAGUGGGGUAACAAAGGCACCCAAAAGAUCUAAGUUGGCUAUAAUUUGGUUUUCUUUUAUACAACAGUUCAUAGGGGCAUUUAUUUUUCAGAUGGCUUGAGGGAAGUCUAUUGAUGAGAUGGGUGGCUGUCAGAACACAUUCUCCCCAAUACCUUAUAGGUAGUUUAGAUUGAAACAAAAGGGCUCUGGCUGUUUCCAACAAAUAUUUAUGUUUUCUUUCCACCACACUGUUUUGUUGUGGUGUGUAUGGACAAGUUUUCUGAUGAAUGAUCCCUUUGGAUAAAAGAAAUUGGUGUGUUUCAUUGUUGGUAAACUCCAGACCAUUAUCUGUCCUAAUGUUUUUGACUGUGGUGUUGAAUUGAUUUUCCACCAGACCUAUGAAAUUUUUCAGAACUUGUAAGGCAUUGCUUUUGGUACUUAAAAGAUGGGUCCAAGUUGACCUGCUGUAGUCAUCUACUAAUGUAAUGAAGUACUUGUAGUUGUCAUAUGUGGACACAUGAUAUGGUCCCCAUAAGUCAAUGUGAAGUAGUUCAAAAAUGGAUUUGGUUUGACUGGUACUGUGAUUAAAAGGUAAUCUCUCUUGUCUUGCCAUUGGACAAAUGUUGCAGGAAAAAGGUUGUUUGGGAGAAAAAGUGGCUGGUAAUGCAGUGAUACUCUUCAUUUUAACAAAAGGUACAUGGCCAAGUCUAUUGUGCCACAACAAGUCGACAUUAUCUCCAGAAUUGUUACAGGAAAUAUGAUCAAACAAGACAUCAAUAUUAUUGGAAGGAGAAGUACACACAAGAGGAACAGAGUUGUGAACACUAUGAGAUUUAUCUGCAGUAGAAGGUUUGACAGAAGAAGAAUUGCAUGUUUUAUUUUUGCUAGAACAAGAAAAGAGACUAUUAUUAGGAAAACAACAACAUAUUUGACUGGUAUCGAUUCUAUUAGAAGUCUUCAGGCAUUUUGAGCACAAGAAGUAGAGCCCAUCUCUGCUAUUACCAAUCACCUGAGGCCUCUUCACUGAAGGGGCCUGCAACAGACACAAUGCAUUAGUGAACAAGACUAUGCAUUUCAUAGAAGUUGUUAAGGAAUGGACUGAAACUAGAUUAUACUUAAAAGAAGGCACAUAUAAUACUUGAUGUAAAGUGAUAUUAGAUGUGACUGGUACAUCCCCAAAUUCUGUUACCUUAACUUUGUAUCCAUUUGGAAGUGAAACUAGUAUAGGAAAAGGCAGGGUUCUAAUGUUGAUUAGGGAAGUUCUGUUAAAGGUUAUAUGAUUUGAUGCCCCUGAGUCUAUGAUCCACAAAUUAGCACUUGAUUCAAAACACUUGCAUGAAGGAUUGCCAAAAUCAGUAGAAGAAAAACAAACCACAAUACCUGCAAAGUUCAUGGAUCCAGCAGCAACACUGGAGGCAUUAUUGGCACCAGCAUCUUCUCCCACAUUUUCAUUCUGAAAAUGUUGCAACAGGUUCAUAAUCUGUCCAUAUUGUUCCUUUGUGAAGCUGACAUUUGAAUGAUUGUUGCCUUGUGACUGUUCCUCUCCAUGAGUAUUCAUCAUGUCAUUUGCAGCACCAUAUACAUUUGCCACCACUCUCUUCCCUUUGAAGUUUGGGCUUUGUUGUCUGAAACUCUGACCACCAUUGUAACUCCCUGACCUGAAGUUUUGAUUAUUGUUACCUUGGGGAUACCCAUGCAACUUGUAACACUUGUCCCUAGUGUGUCCAGUCCUCUUACAAUAGUCACACACUAUAGCAUUUCUACCACUACUACUGCCUGAGUAAUAGUUUCCUCCUGAACUGCUUCUACCAGCAUAAUUGCUAUCACCACCUACAUAACUGUUUCCUUGAUAAUUUGUCCUGAAAGUCCUUCCUCCAUGACUCUUGUUAUCAAGAGAAUUUGCAUUCAAAGAGAUUGAAUCUGUGGGCAUUCGACCAAUAGGCUUAAAUUCUCUUUGUUUUUCCUCCUGGAUUAACAGUGAGAAAGCCUGUCCCAUAGAAGGGAGUGGAUUCAUCAUGAGGAUAUUUCCCCUCACUACUGUGUACACUUCAUUUAGUCCCAUAAGGAACUGAAUUAAACGUCUAUCUUGCUCUGCCUUGUGCAUACCAUCUUCUCAUACAAGUAAUAUGUGAUUUGUUUGUAUUUGCAAAUUUAAAAAGGGAACCUGCUUUUAGUACACGUACGAAUCACUAACGGAUUGAGAGUAUUUGUUAAAAGACAGAUGCUUUCUUAGCCAAAAAGUGAAAUAAGAAUAAAUUUGAAUACUUUAUUCUCCUCAAACAUUAUCAGAAUCAUAUUCUCUUCUUUUUUUUCCUUUAAAGAUUCGAAAAAUUGCAAUUCAUUAUUUGUAUACAAAAACUAUAGCCUAUUAGUGAAGUGUGAUGAACUAAGUCAAGUCUCUGAACAAGUAGAAGUUCAUUUUAGAGCAAUGGGUAUGUCAAUUUCCAAGUUUGUAAAAAUGUUAUUUGCAAAGAAAGAGAUGAGAAUAUUAAUGGUAGGACUCGAUGCGGCUGGCAAAACAACCAUCUUGUACAAGUUAAAACUCGGGGAAAUUGUCACUACCAUACCUACUAUUGGUAUUUUUGCUAUCUCACCUCUAUAUACGUUUAAUUGCAAAGAAAAAACUUAAUAUUUUCUUGAAUAUUUGAUUAUUAUUUUUAAUAUAUACAUUAAUUGAAACCAGGAUUUAACGUGGAGACAGUGGAGUACAAGAAUUCCAGCUUCACAGUAUGGGAUGUGGGUGGACAAGAUAAGGUAUUUAAUAAAUUAAUUCUCACAUAUAUAUAUGAUUACAAUGAAAGUUAGUUACUAGGUUGAUGAUGAUUAUAUUAAUGUAACUAAAUUGUUUUAGUAAUUAAUUGUACAGAUCCGGCCUCUAUGGAGGCACUAUUUUCAGAACACACAGGGUCUAAUAUUUGUUGUAGACAGUAAUGAUCGAGAUCGAAUUUCAGAAGCCAGAGAUGAGCUACAUCGCAUGCUUAAUGAGGUAAAAUACUCUCCGUCCCAUAUUAGUUGUCAUAUCGAUGAUGGAUAAUUCUCGUAACUUUUAGAAUACGUACAAAUUCAUGUGUUAUGUAGGAAGAAUUACGAGGCGCUACAAUUCUUGUAUUCGCAAAUAAACAAGACCUUCCAAAUGCUAUGAAUGUUGCAGAUAUCACCGAUAAACUUGGCCUGCAUUCACUCCGACAACGACGCUGGUAAACCACAAACUUAAUAUUAUAUCACACCGCAAAAGAAUAUUUGCAUCAUUAGAUUAUCUAAUAUGUUAUGAUUUUUAUUAUUAUAUGUAAUUCCCCAUGAUAAGUGAAAUUAGUUUUAUGAGAAUAAGGUGUUACAAGUGAAAUUAUGCUUAUAGGUAGUACAAUUUUUGUAGGAAUUUUAAUAUUUUUUGUCAGCAGACUAAAAUAACACUACAACAAAAAUGAUCAUUAGCGGCAAUUAAUUCUUAAUUGCCGUGGCCAUUAGCACUCUUUGUAUAUGUCCCUAAAGCCUUUAGCGACAUUGGUUCUAAUGACACUUAACUAAUGUCAGUAAAGACUUUAGUACUCUUUAUUAAUGUCAAUAAAGUUAUUUUUGUUGUAGUGUCACCUGCCUAGCCGUAAUAGUAAUUAGUUUGUAUUUGGUGUAUACUCAAUGGAUAAUACAAGUAUAAUAAUAAGUGUGUUAAUCGAUAUACACACUCAAUAGAGGAGUGUGUUAAAAGAUCUGAAAAACUUUGUUCUAUUCAAAUUGUAAGAGGGCAAGAGAUCUCAUUUUUAUCCGUAUUUUUUUUU
rnacentral:lncRNA from 1 species